GACGAACGCUGGCGGCGUGCCUAAUACAUGCAAGUAGAACGCUGAAGGAGGAGCUUGCUUCUCUGGAUGAGUUGCGAACGGGUGAGUAACGCGUAGGUAACCUGCCUGGUAGCGGGGGAUAACUAUUGGAAACGAUAGCUAAUACCGCAUAAUAGUAGAUGUUGCAUGACAUUUGCUUAAAAGGUGCAAUUGCAUCACUACCAGAUGGACCUGCGUUGUAUUAGCUAGUUGGUGAGGUAACGGCUCACCAAGGCAACGAUACAUAGCCGACCUGAGAGGGUGAACGGCCACACUGGGACUGAGACACGGCCCAGACUCCUACGGGAGGCAGCAGUAGGGAAUCUUCGGCAAUGGACGGAAGUCUGACCGAGCAACGCCGCGUGAGUGAAGAAGGUUUUCGGAUCGUAAAGCUCUGUUGUAAGAGAAGAACGAGUGUGAGAGUGGAAAGUUCACACUGUGACGGUAUCUUACCAGAAAGGGACGGCUAACUACGUG
rnacentral:rRNA from 1 species